rnacentral:rRNA from 1 species
AUUGAACGCUGGCGGCAUGCCUUACACAUGCAAGUCGAACGGUAACGGGCCUUCGGGUGCCGACGAGUGGCGAACGGGUGAGUAAUGCAUCGGAACGUACCUUUCAGUGGGGGAUAACGUAGCGAAAGUUACGCUAAUACCGCAUAUUCUGUGCGCAGGAAAGCAGGGGAUCGCAAGACCUUGCGCUGAUUGAGCGGCCGAUGUCAGAUUAGCCAGUUGGUGAGGUAAAGGCUCACCAAGGCGACGAUCUGUAGCGGGUCUGAGAGGAUGAUCCGUCACACUGGAACUGAGACACGGUCCAGACUCCUAAGGGAGGCAGCAGUGGGGAAUUUUGGACAAUGGGGGCAACCCUGAUCCAGCCAUGCCGCGUGAGUGAAGAAGGCCUUCGGGUUGUAAAGCUCUUUCGGCCGGGAAGAAAUCGCAUGGGUUAAUACCCUGUGCGGAUGACGGUACCGGCAUAAGAAGCACCGGCUAACUACGUGCCAGCAGCCGCCGUAA